GAGCGGCGAACGGGUGAGUAACACGUGAGUAACCUGCCCCUGACUCUCGGAUAAGCCUGGGAAACUGGGUCUAAUACCGGAUAUGACUACUUCGGGCAUCCGAUGGUGGUGGAAAGUUUUUUCGGUUGGGGAUGGACUCGCGGCCUAUCAGCUUGUUGGUGGGGUAGUGGCCUACCAAGGCGACGACGGGUAGCCGGCCUGAGAGGGCGACCGGCCACACUGGGACUGAGACACGGCCCAGACUCCUACGGGAGGCAGCAGUGGGGAAUAUUGCGCAAUGGGCGAAAGCCUGACGCAGCGACGCCGCGUGGGGGAUGACGGCCUUCGGGUUGUAAACCUCUUUCAGCAGGGACGAAGUUGACGUGUACCUGUAGAAGAAGCGCCGGCUAACUACGUGCCAGCAGCCGCGGUAAUACGUAGGGCGCAAGCGUUGUCCGGAAUUAUUGGGCGUAAAGAGCUCGUAGGUGGCUUGUCGCGUCUGCCGUGAAAGCUUAGGGCUUAACCCUAGGUCUGCGGUGGAUACGGGCAGGCUAGAGGCUGGUAGGGNCAAGCGGAAUUCCU
rnacentral:rRNA from 1 species